CCUGGUUGAUCCUGCCAGUAGCACAUUCCUGUCUCAAGGAUCAAGUCAUGGACAUGUAUGUAUACAUGAAUGGCACUGUGAAACUGCGAAUGGACAAUCAAAUCAGUAAUGGUUCCUUAGUUCACCCCAUCUGUCACUUGGAAAACUGAGGUAUUUGCAGGGACAAUACAUGCCCAUGAGCGUUGACUUCCUGGGAUGAAUGCAUCAAUCAGACCAAGACCAAUCAGCGGUCACCUGGCUGCUAUUGUGACUGUAGACAACCUGAGGGUGAUUGUGCAUCCCUGUGAUGGCAACCAUACAGUUGGAUGUCUGCCCUAUCAACUUUGAAUUCCAGUGUCUGUCCCGACAAUGGUAACCACAGGUAAUGGGGAAUCGGGGUUAAAAACUGUAGAGGGCACCUGAGAAGCAGCUACCAAGUCCAAGGAAGGCAGCAGAUGCAUACAUUACCCACUCCUGACUGUGGGAGAUUGUGACACAAAUAACAAUACAGUAAUUGGAAUGAGUGUGCAAUAAAUCCAUUAACAAGGAUCCAUCGGAGGGCAAGUCUGGUGUCAGUAUUUGCCAUAAUUUCAGUUCAAAUAGCAUAUCUUAAACAUGCUGCAUUUGAAAUAAAUACAUGGAGUUGGAUCUUGGGAUCAAGCUGGGGGUGUUCUGUGAAGUGAGCAACUGUUUAUCCCCACCCAGCCUCUCAGUGUCCCCUUGAUUCACUUCACUGAGUAUCCUGGGGUCCAAAGCGUUUACUAAAUCACCUGAAUAACUAAGUCCGGAUUAAUUGAAUAUGACUCUGCUUCUAUUGUCUUGGUUGGUGGAAGGGUUUCCAUGAUGAAGAGGGACAGUUGGGGGCCUUCAAAAUGUGCUUCUAGAGUUGUAACUCUUGGAAUGGGGCAAGAUGAUCCAAAGUGCAAACAUGUAUAAUGUAUAAUUUAUAAUUUGCCAAGAAUGUAUUUAUCAAACCAGAAUGAAAGUCUGAAGUUUGAAGACGGUCAGAUACCGUCACAGGUCCGACCAUAAAUGAUGCUGACUAGCUAUCUGGUGGCGCUAUUCCCAUUACCCACUGAGGGGCUUCUGGGAAAGCAUAGUCUCAGUGUUCUGGGCUGAGUAUAUUUGCAAAGCAGAAACAUAAAGGAAUCGAUGGAAAGGCACCCAAGGAGUGGAGCCUGUGGCUGGAAUUGACUCAACAUGGGAAACCUCACCCAGAAAGGAUUGUCAUAUUGAUGUCUCUGUGUCUAUUUUGUGGGUGUAGGUGCAUGGCCAUUCAUAGUUGGCCAUAGCAAUUUGUGUGGUCAAUUCUGAUAAUGAACAAGACUCCACCAUGCCCACUAGUCAUGUGACUGCCAGUGGUUGGUGUUCAACUUCUUAGAGGGACAAGUCGUGUUCAGCCACACACGUUCAAGCAAGAGCAGGGCUGUGAAGCCCUUAGAUGUCUGUGCAUGCACAUGUGCCACACUGAAUGGAUUGCUGUGUGUCUACCCUUUGCUGACACUUGCAGGAAACCUGCUGAACCCUGCGUAUGAUAGGGAUUGGGGAUAGCAAUCUACUCACACGAACUAGGAAUUCCCAGCAAGGGCGGGUAAUAAUCUUGUGUUGAUGAAGUUCAUGCACUUUGUACAAACUGCCUGUUUCAACUACCGAUUGGAUGGUUCAAUGAGGUCCUCGGAUUGGCCCCUGCCAGGGUCAGCAGUGUCCCUGGUGGUGCACAGAGAAGAUGAUCAAACAUGGCUAUCUAGAGAGAGUGUCAGUCAUAACAAGUGUAGAGGAAGUCCCAAAUAAAG
rnacentral:rRNA from 1 species